rnacentral:rRNA from 1 species
GCAUGUCUCAGUACUUGCUUUUACAAGGCGAAACCGCGAAUGGCUCAUUAAAUCAGUUAUUGUUCACUAGAUCGUACAGUUUACAUGGAUAACUGUGGUAAUUCUAGAGCUAAUACAUGCACAUCAGUCGGCUCUCUCGGGAGCCGAUGCAGUUAUUAGACUAAGACCAAUCCGGCCUUCGGGUCGGUAAAAUUGGUGAUUCUGAAUAACCGAAGCGGAGCGCGUGGGCCUCGUGCCGACGCCAGAUCUUUCAAGUGUCUGACUUAUCAGCUGUAGUUAAGUUAUGUUCCUAACUAGGCCGUACGUAACGGGGU